UUUUUUUUUUCUAGUUUCUGAACGUCAAAGCGAAAAACAGCUAUUCGGACGUACGCAAUACGAGGACAGUGUACUUACAGAAAGCCGCCUGUGCGCUAUACUAAUGUAUCUGUAUAUUCAUCACACUCUUAAAAUAGUCUUAAACGUCUUAAAAGCGGAGUUCGGUUUCUACUACACGCAUUUCGAACGGCCGUACAAUUUUCGAACUGAAAACAAUACAUUACGUACGUUUUCCCGUUUUUCCCACGUAUUACGAAAACCCCCGGGAAAAUUAAUACCUCCCCGGUGCGCCGACUAGAGACUUUUUUUUUUUUUUUUAAUAAAAUACGUUACGUUCAUAUUUCCGAUGCGUAAUUCAGAAUAGCGAUUUUUAUUUGGAAUUCGAAUUCGAAUUCGACAACAGCGAUCGUAUCCGAUUCUGUUUUUCUUUAUAGCGGAGAAAUAGGCGGAUUUUUUUUUUUAUGCAUUGUGGUUUCCGACGAACACGAUAUUUAAUAACGUUACGAUAAUAAUAAUAUUUCGUUACACCACUGACGUCAACGAAAACUCGAGUAUAAAAAUAUAAUUUACGAAGUUUUGACGAUAAUAUACGAAAACGGCGCGGCGUAAUAAUUUAAACGUCAAAACGUAUUCGUUUUCCCGACACUUUUAAUUUGCCCGGAAACGUU